rnacentral:rRNA from 1 species
GACGAACGCUGGCGGCGUGCCUAAUACAUGCAAGUAGAACGCACAGUUUAUACCGUAGCUUGCUACACCAUAAACUGUGAGUUGCGAACGGGUGAGUAACGCGUAGGUAACCUGCCUGGUAGCGGGGGAUAACUAUUGGAAACGAUAGCUAAUACCGCAUAAUAUUAAUUAUUGCAUGAUAAUUGAUUGAAAGAUGCAAUUGCAUCACUACCAGAUGGCCCUGCGUUGUAUUAGCUAGUAGGUGAGGUAACGGCUCACCUAGGCGACGAUACAUAGCCGACCUGAGAGGGUGAGCGGCCACACUGGGACUGAGACACGGCCCAGACGCCUACGGGAGGCAGCAGUAGGGAAUCUUCGGCAAUGGACGAAAGUCUGACCGAGCAACGCCGCGUGAGUGAAGAAGGUUUUCGGAUCGUAAAGCUCGGUUGUAAGAGAAGAACGGGUGUGAGAGUGGAAAGUUCACACUGUGACGGUAUCUUACCAGAAAGGGACGGCUAACUACGUG